CAUUUGCACACACUGUAUAUAGACUUUAUUUUUUUUCUAUUGUGUUAUUGACUGUACGCUUGUUUAUUCCAUGUGUAACUCUGUGUUGUUGUUUGUGUCGCACUGCUUUGCUUUAUCUUGACCAGGUCGCAGUUGUAAAUGAGAACUUGUUCUCAACUAGCUUACCUGGUUAAAUAAAGGUGACAUAUAUAUAUAUUUUUUAAAUUAAGUUAAAGUUAAAAUAACACUAUUCCCAACAAAAGGGGAAUCAAAGUGGAAUUUAUUUAGCUGAAAAGUUAUGCUGGUGAUGAGGAUGAGAAAAGAAGCAUAGAAUGAGGAAAACCAGGGGUUUGUCUCUCUUCCCUCUCUCCAAACAACUUGCUACUCCAUCCACCAAUUCCACGGUUCAGCCUUAUCUCUCUGAGUCCCUGAGGCCUGUGCUAAGUGGACUGGAGAGAGAAUGUCUCAGUGUGGUGUGGUUUUACAUUAACCAGAUGGAAUGAGAGCUAUGAUGGGGCUCUCAGAAAGGGGAACGGGUGAGAGUAGCCAGCGUGCCUUACUGCAUUUGAUUUGUGUUUCAGCAUUAAUGGAACACUAUUGACUCAUCAAUAUCAACCCAAUGAAGCUAGCAACCUGGCUCAAAGUGAUCCCUGGCUUGAAUGCUGCACUCAAAUGCAGGCCUAAAUGGAUUGCUCUGUGAAUGUGGUCCAAUUCACAUUAGCGUGGGAUAUGAGGAUAACUGUUAGAAAACAACACUGCCCUAUUGUAUAACAGUAAUUGACAUUUCUCAGCAAUAGAGUGAGUUGAAUAUGAAGCCCGUUGCAAAACAGUUCUCAUUGUCUACACUUGAUCUGCGAAUGACACACAAAACAGGUGCACAAGGACAUGCAUGAAGAUCCGAAUCAGAGCAUCCUGUCAUAAUCAUGCCUCGUCUUUGAAUGGAUACUGCAGUACUGGAUUACUACAGCUGUAGUAGACGUCGCCCUGAAUCGUUCUGUUUACCAUGGGGCUGUCGUGGAUUCACGGUUGAAGAGAUCUGCACACACACACACACUCUGUUGUUAAAUAUAGCCUCCCUUGGCUCCUGUUUGCCUGCCGGGGUCUGUCCACUGCUACGCCUGAUGGGAGGUGCCGCGCACGCUGGGAAGAGGGAGAUAAGAGGGAAGGGGAAGCUGGGCGGCCAUGACGCCAUGUUGUCGUACACUCACACUGGCGUUAGUGUCGCCCACGGGGCACUUACAUUGGGCACUUAACAUGGGGCGAAAUGGCUCUCUCUCCAUCCAGUUGUCUACACACUAAGCUACAGCCCAUACUGAUGGGGAGAAAAAACUGUCUAAAGCAGAUCUGGACAUAUUUCUUGAUUUACCAUUGAAGUCAAUAGGAUGCACAUCAAUUCUCAAUAUGUUGAGAUCAACAGGGGAGAUCCUACA